CUGAUGUUGCUGCUCCUGAUAACAAGGAUAACGCCAAGGAAGAGGCUAGCGAGAGCAAGGAGGCAGUAGCGAAUCAGGAUGCUGAAGAGCAGAACAAAGGCUCGGAGAAUGGCGCAGAGGGCGAGUCAGGUGGAGAUGUCAAGAUGGCAGAGGCUGAGACCACAGAGGAAGGCGAUGGUGAUGCUGGUGCCGCAAAGCAGGUGGAUUCUGGAGAUGUUGAAACGGAUGCAGAUACAAAGGAAGAUGCCAAUGCCAAGACAGGAGAAGGUGAGGAUGACAAGAUGACUGAAGCUGACGCAGGAAGUACAGAGGACAAAGAUAAAGAAGAGAAGGAAGAUGAAGUUGAGAACACAAACGUGGAUAAGCAGGAUGAAUCAAAGGAGCAAGAGAAAGGUGUUUCGGCUGAGGAAGAGGAAAACAAAGGAAAAGAAACAGAUGCCGAUGAGAAGCAAGAACAAGAGGAAGCAGAAGAAAAGGGUUCUGCUGAUAAGAAAGAUGAAGAUGAAGAUGAAGAUGAAGGUGAAGGUGACAAGAUGGAAGAGAAUAAGGAGGAGACUCCGAAGAACAAGAAAGCAAGGAGUGCCAGGGAUAGAAGCCAGGGAAAGGAUAAGAAACAGGAUGGAUCCAAAUCCAGGGAAGCAAAAAGUUUGCUG
rnacentral:lncRNA from 1 species